GUGGGUGUAGCUCAGAUGGUAGAGCAACAGGUUGUGGCCCUGUCGGUCGCGGGUUCAAGUCCCGUCACUCACCCGA
rnacentral:tRNA from 1 species